GGUGUCUGGACACCCGGGUUCUAAAAAGCCACUCUCAUAAACGAAAAGGUGCUAUAACACCCGGGAGUCCCGGCACCCUCUAAUCUGAGCUGUACAGUGAUGGUAAGAUUCGUGUUGUUUGCUGCUGAGCUGCAAACCAUUUACAGUCUCUGCUAAGUAAGCAGGCUUUGUUAAGCAGGCAAACAGCGGCCGCAUGUGUAACAUGGAGAGCUAGAUUUGAUAGGAGGUUACGUGGGUCCCGAUCGAAGUGACAACACAGUCUGUUUGCAUGUGUUUUAGAUUACAACCCCCACCACGUSUUCGAUAGAAACACAGUCUGUUUGCAACGGAGUUCCCUAAGGAUUUCACAUCAACGGCAGCUCCAAUGACCUUUUUACUCCAUUCCAGAGAGGUCCGACACGUCUCUUCCUUUUCUUUUACAGCAGGCCUGAUAUGUCAACUCAGUGUCCCUCCUCUUGUGUCGCUCGAUGGAAUCAACCUACAACAUACAGUGUCAGACUAGGUGUCCUGUCUCAAGCGCUUAGCAAGUUAUGACCUGCUAAUCCAUAUUCGGUACAGUGCAUGGUAUAGAUCUCUAGGAGGACAUACGGUGGUGAUAAGAGGGUGUCUGGACACCCGGGUUCUAAAAAGCCACUCUCAUAAACGAAAAGGUGCUAUAACACCCGGGAGUCCCGGCACCCUCUAAUCYGAGCUGUACAGUGAUGGUAAGAUUCGUGUUGUUUGCUGCUGAGCUGCAAACCAUUUAYAGUCUSUGCUAAGUAAGCAGGCUUUGUUAAGCAGGCAAACAGCGGCCGCAKGUGUAACAYGGAGAGCUAGAUUUGAUAGGAGGUUACGUGGGUCCCGAUCGAAGUGACAACACAGUCUGUUUGCAUGUGUUUUAGAUUACAACCCCCACCACGUGUUCGAUAGAAACACAGUCUGUUUGCAACGGAGUUCCCNN
rnacentral:lncRNA from 1 species